GACGUAGGGGGCCAGCGUUGUUCGGAAUUACUGGGUGUAAAGGGUUCGUAGGCGGUGCGGCAAGUUGGGAGUGAAAUCUCGGGGCUUAACUCCGAAACUGCAUUCGAUACUGCCGUGCUUGAGGACUGGAGAGGAGACUGGAAUUUACGGUGUAGCGGUGAAAUGCGUAGAUAUCGUAAGGAAGACCAGUGGCGAAGGCGGGUCUCUGGACAGUUCCUGACGCUGAGGCACGAAGGCCAGGGGAGCAAACGGG
rnacentral:rRNA from 1 species